rnacentral:rRNA from 1 species
GUGGGGAAUAUUCCGCAAUGGACGAAAGUCUGACGGAGCAACGCCGCGUGAGUGAUGAAGGUUUUCGGACUGUAAAGCUCUGUUGUUUAGGACGAAAGUGCCUGUUGCAAAUAGUUACAGGUAUUGACGGUACUGAACGAGGAAGCCACGGCUAACUACGUGCCAGCAGCCGCGGUAAUACGUAGGUGGCAAGCGUUGUCCGGAAUUAUUGGGCGUAAAGAGCAUGUAGGCGGGAAUCUAAGUCUGUUGUGAAAAUGCGGGGCUCAACCCCGUAUUGCGAUGGAAACUGGGUUUCUUGAGUGCAGGAGAGGAAAGGGGAAUUCCCAGUGUAGCGGUGAAAUGCGUAGAUAUCAGGAAGAACACCGGAGGCGAAGGCGGCUUACUGGACAAUAACUGACGUUGAGGCUCGAAAGCGUGGGAAGCAAACAGGAUUAGAAACCCUGGUAGUCC